rnacentral:lncRNA from 1 species
UCCAUUGUUUCCUGUCUGGCCUUCAGGUGCAGUUAAGCUUCUCCAAGUGUUUGUGCCAUGAAGCCCCACUUGGAUUAUAAACAGUUGUGGGUGUGAGUGGCUGGUUUGGACUCACUUUUUUUCCUCUCAUUCUGUUGCAGAAUAAGAAGCCUCCACCUGAUCAGAGGGACAUGAUGCUGGCUCUUCAACACAUGUUUAGAAUGAGCUCUGAAAGGCAUUGGCCAAAGUAAAGAUGCUUUGUCCUGAACUUUACAAAGGAGCUGAGAGGCCAUGAUGUCCAACUCCCAACCAAGCAGAUGGAGCAUCAUGGGUGCAAGUGGCGGGAAUGAGAUGAGAUUUAGUUCUCAGAAGUUUCCAAGGUGUCUGGCUCCAUUCUUCCUUCAGGGACCUUCCUCUUCAGUUUCACUUCAGCGAGGCUCCAAUUCAGCAUCUCUUUGGGUCACCUGGGUUCUUCAGCCUCCAUAUGCACUUUUGAAGAAUUGUCGCUUGGGAAAUGUGAUUUUGAGUGAGCCAGGUUCUGAGCCUCCUUGAAGAGCGCUGGCUUGGUUUGUGUUCUUUAAGCUCCUUUGUCAGCUGAGCUUAGUGGAGGGUAUUCAGGUAAUCCUCGAGUUAAGAAUGUGAUAGAGCCUGCCAAUUACAUUGGUAACACAAACAUUCAUUUGUUUGAAUCACGUUAAAUGAAUGUGAUUGUCAGCCUUCAAGAUCUUCCUUUCCUUUGCUUCUUUCUGGCUGCCAUGAGUAAGGGGGUGUGUGGAAGGGGGAGAUGUAUGGGACGUGAGCUGAAAGUGUUACUAACUGAUAUUGUAUAAACUGGGGAGGGUUUCUCAUUCCUGCUUAGCUUUCUCUUCUCUGCGCAAUUGCAAACCUUUAUCUGAGUAAGCCAAGGUCAAUUAAUCAUCACCACCUGGAGAUGUCCACAUGAUGGAGUUCACAACUUUUAAUUAGAAGAACCGUUUCAACUAUUGGGGGUGGGAACAUUUCACUCCCUUGAUAUAUGUGAUGUACGUGCCUAUUUCCCCAGAUUCCCAUAAAAGUAUGUGAUUUAAUUGAAAAGUAAUGAUUUAAAUGUUUAAGAUAUGAAUAUUAAUACUAAUGAAUAGAUUUGUAUUAUUUUUGAUAAUAUAGUAUAAUUUUAGAAUGUACCAGACAGAAUCCCAAUAUAUGUUAUGUGUUUUAUAUUAAGUAUUAUAAAUGUAGGGGAAAGAGAUAAAGGCAUCAUACUCCAUAUAGUGUGCAGGAGAAGUUUUUUCUUUUUUUUAAAGAAGGAAAAUAAAGGGCUGGCUGGAAUAGAACA